ensembl:lncRNA
AUUAUUUGUGAGUCCUUAAAGACCUAUCAUGUUCUUUAAGGGAAUCAUGUGACAUUAUUUGUCUGAAGCUGACAGUAGAACCAAUAAAGGAGCCGCGCGUCGGGCCUAACAACACCGCAAACUAUUAUUGGACAAUAAAGUACAGCCUCUCGUACUGAAUUGCUUAAUUAUACAUUAGUUUGUCUAAAUACACUAUAUCGAGAACAGCAUUUGUGUAUGUCGAAAAUAGUCAUUGUUGUGUUAAAAAAGUUAUAAAAGCCUUAUUGUCACAAAAAGCUAUAAGAAAUUCAAACAAAAAGACAUUGUAUAGUAUAAUGUAUUUCACAAUAUUAAUAUCUGAUGAUUAGACGAUUUAGAGCUACUCAAACAAACGUUGCAUAAAAACAGGUUACAGUCUAAAGAAAGACUUUUAUUUUCUAUAAAAAGACAAAAUCACAUAUCACAUUCUAUUUUGCCUGUGCAACAGUUCUCAAAUACAUUCAAAUAUUUACAAUCCACAGUGGGCAGCAUUGACCGUGCAUUUCUGAUAUGAAAUUCAAACUCAAAUCAUAUGGCUUAUGUACAACAUAAGCAGUGAAAAAUGUAAAAAACAAUAAAACCCUAAAAAGGUAUUUCAAUCCACAGCAGCCACCAAAAAGGAAACAUCUACAGUAAGUAGGUACAUGGGGCUUCAUAUUGCACAUGUCAAUACUUUGCAUACAUUCAUAUUUGCCAACAAUAUCAUCUAAAAACAGACAUUGGAAACAGAGACUAGAAAGUCACCACAAAGUCAGGAAUCAGGAACAUGUAUUACCAAGAUAUGUUAGACAAACAAGGAAUUUGACUUUGGUUGGUGCAUAACAGCAGACAAGACGAUGGACAACAAGUAGAGAGGAGCAUGCAGCACAGACCCACACGCAGUGGAAACACAGACACGGUGCAGAGUCUUUGUUAAAUAGUGUUCAAAAUGAAGUGGCGAAAAACAAGCAAUAUUGUUUAAGCUCGUCAUUCACUCAUUAUGACGAUAGUUUUAAAGUUGGUUUUAAAUGUUACCCUCCACAACGAGAGUAAACACAGGUCAAAAUACCAGGAAAAAGGGUGAAGUGUUUGCACCAAUCCACUGAGGGGUCACAGGCUCCAGGGACAAAUCCUCCUACUGGCUCCAUAGACAGGGGGCUGGUCCGACAGGUCGAGGCUCAUCACAGCACUUCCAAGGUCCACCUCUGGUCUGACUUUUUCUCGUCUAAUGUGUUGAGGAUCACCUGGUUCUUG